AUUGAACGCUGGCGGCAGGCCUAACACAUGCAAGUCGAGCGAGCGGCGGACGGGUGAGUAAUGUAUGGGGACUGCCCGAUAGCGGGGGAUAACUACUGGAAACGGUGUCUAAUACCGCAUACUAUCGGUUAACCCUUAUGGGAUUGUCGAGUGGGUGGGGUAAAGGCUCACCUAGGCGACGAUCUCUAGCUGGUCGGAGAGGAGGAUCAGCCACACUGGGACUGAGAACCGGCCCAGACUCCUACGGAGGAAGCAGUGGGGAAUAUUGCACAAUGGGCGCAAGCCUGAUGCAGCCAGGCCGCGUGUAUGAAGAAGGCCUUAGGGUUGUAAAGUACUUUCAGCGGGGAGGCGUUACCCGCAGAAGAAGCACCGGCUAACUCCGUGCCAGCAGCCGCGGUAAUUC
rnacentral:rRNA from 1 species